ACAAGCCGGAGGAAGGUGGGGAUGACGUCAAGUCAUCAUGGCCCUUAUGUCCAGGGCGACACACGUGCUACAAUGGCCGGCACAGCGGGAAGCGAAGGGGCGACUCUGAGCGGAUCCCUUAAAGCCGGUCCCAGUUCGGAUUGCAGUCUGCAACUCGACUGCAUGAAGUUGGAAUCGCUAGUAAUCGUGGAUCAGCCAAGCCGCGGUGAAUACGUUCCCGGGCCGUU
rnacentral:rRNA from 1 species